rnacentral:lncRNA from 1 species
CCACAAUUUAACAUUUGCCACAGAAUGAUGAAAAGUUUUAGAGCUGGCAGGGCCAUUUAUUAUUAUUUUUUUUUUUUACAAGCCUCCUCUCAAUCCUGAUUUAGUGGAAUUGCACUGGAUUAAGGAUGAGAAGACCUGACUCUACCAUCUUCUCCAUAGCUGACCUUGGGCCAGCCACAUUAGCUCUAGGAGAUUUAGUUUCCACAUCUGUAAAAUGGAGAUAUCUUACCUAUCUGCUCCACAAGUUUGCUUGGAAUGUCAAAUGUGAUCAUGCAUAAGAGAGUGAUUCAUAAAUUAUAAAGAAGUGCUGUUAACGAUUUCAGAUGUCCUGGUACACAGCACAGCCCUCCUGUCUGCCCCACCCUAUCCAUGUAGUUGGGUGGAGCCAAUGAGGACUUAGCAAAUACUCUAAAAAGAUGUUCCACAGUUCAAGGGUAUGUCUCUCAAUACUUAAGAGAAUUUCACAUACUGUUCAUUUUAUCCCCUUCAGAUGGCUUUUGGGGUUGUGGAAAAUUCUGCCUCCUCUUUCUGCCAUACUGGAACUGGCAAGAUUUCUCAAAUCAGCAGGCUGCAGCUGGUGCUUAGAGAAACGACAUCCCUUCUGACAAAAGAACUCCAAAAAACUGGUGAUCUGAAGGUUGUUUUAGGUUCUGAGGACAUUGCUGUUGGUGUAACUCAGCCUGAUGGAUGCUCUCCCACACUGAUACGGGCUCACCAAGAGGAGACUCGAAGUGUUCUGUCUACAGUCUACAAUAGGGACCAGUGGCCCCCCUAG